CACUGCCUGCUGUAGAUUUUUGGAGGCGUAUCAGGGCUGUGCCGGAUUGACAGGUGAGUGGGAGUCAUGUACUUUGCACCAUGAGCAUCCUUAAUUCAUUUUCAUGAAUACCGCCAAGUGUGAAUUGAUUCCACUUGUGCAUAUUGAUUGAUAUUGUAGUAGAUUCCUCUAUAAUCUUGUUUCUCCAUACUUGAUUAUCUUGUGCACGCAUUUGAGGGAACAUUGAGAGGAAUUACAAGGGGUGGAAAAGUAAUCAAAUUGAUUCCGAAUUGUGAAAUGAUUUCUUUUGUAAAUUGAUUUCAUUUCCUCUAUUUCAAAGACUUAUAGAGCCCUUCUCAUGGUAUAUUGAGUUGCAUUGUACUCCCGUGAUUCCUCACUCCCAACCCUGAUGUUAGUUAUAAUUGGGUCGUGGCCGCGUGAGUGGUAGUCUUGAUUAUGCUCUUUCUUAGUAGAGUAUUGGGAGGGUGCAUUAUGGUAUUUAUGCAUGGCUUGGCAGUAUCUGCAGGACACCUAUAGUCGAUGGGGUUGAACAUCGGCCUUUGUGCACAUAGU
rnacentral:lncRNA from 1 species